rnacentral:rRNA from 1 species
CAGCAGCCGCGGUAAUACGGAGGGUGCAAGCGUUGCCCGGAUUUAUUGGGUUUAAAGGGUGCGUAGGCGGCUAUUUAAGUCAGCGGUGAAAGACUCCGGCUCAACCGGAGCAGUGCCAUUGAUACUGGAUAGCUUGAGUGUUGGAGGGGUACAUGGAAUUGAUGGUGUAGCGGUGAAAUGCAUAGAUACCAUCAGGAACACCGAUAGCGAAGGCAUUGUACUGGCCAACAACUGACGCUGAGGCACAAAAGCAUGGGGAGCGAACAGGAUUAGAUACCCCUGUAGUCCCUGUCUCUUAUAC